GACGAACGCUGGCGGCAGGCCUAACACAUGCAAGUCGAGCGGAGCGGCCGACGGGUGGGUAAUACCUAGGAAUCUGCCUGGUCGUGGGGGAUGACGUUCGGUAACGGAAGCUAAUACCGCAUCCUUUCAGCUGAGCAUAGGUCGGAUUAGCUAGUUGGUGUGGUAAUGGCUGACCAAGGCGACGAUCCGUAACUGGUCUGAGAGGAUGAUCAGUCACACUGGAACUGAGACACGGUCCAGACUCCUACGGGAGGCAGCAGUGGGGAAUAUUGCACAAUGGGCGAAAGCCUGAUGCAGCCAUGCCGCGUGUGUGAAGAAGGUCUUCGGAUUGUAAAGCACUUUAAGUUGGGAGGCGUUACCGACAGAAGAAGCACCGGCUAACUCCGUGCCAGCAGCCGCGGUAAUUC
rnacentral:rRNA from 1 species